rnacentral:rRNA from 1 species
GACAGAGGAGGCAAGCGUUUUUCGGAAUCAUUGGGCUUAAAGCGCGCGUAGGCGGCCUUGUAAGUGUCUUGUGAAAUCCCACGGCUCACCCGUGGAACUGCAGGGCAAACUGCAAGACUUGAGGUCGGUAGAGGCGCCUGGAACUCUAGGUGGAGCGGGGAAAUGCGUAGAUAUCUAGGGGAACGCCGGAGGCGAAAGCGGGGCGCUGGGCCGAUUCUGACGCUGAUGCGCGAAAGCGUGGGGAGCAAACAUG